GCCUGGGUGGCUCAGUCGGUUGAGCGUCUGGCUUCGGCUCAAGUCAUGAUGUCACAGUUUGUGGGUUCGAGCCCCACAUCAGGCU
rnacentral:tRNA from 1 species